rnacentral:lncRNA from 1 species
GAGAAUGCGCGGGUCGAGUGCUGUAGUUCGAUUUUUGCGUGUGUGCGUUGCUUGCGGCCUUUGUGCCUUUUUAUUCUUUGCUUACCUUUAUGAUAUAAAGACCUUAUUUCUUACAAGGAGGAAAAGACCGCUGACUUCAGAAACAGCGGGAACCCCAGCUCGUCCCCGGUAAUUCAAGAGGAAACGCUUGAGCAAUUACUGAUGUUGUAAACUGGGAUCAGAAGACAUACAUGGUAUCGUAUCCCAGGCAAGGCACAGUGGCUCACACCUGUAAUCCCAGCACUUUGGGAGGCUGAAGAAGGCAGAUCACUUGAGGUCAGGAGUUCGAGACCAGCCUGGCUUACAUGGUGAAACCCAUCUCUACUGAACAUACAAAAAUUAGCUGGACAUGAUGAAGUGGACAACAUCACUUCUUUCCACAUUUCAUUGACCAGAGCAAGUCAUGUGACCAAGCCUGAUUCAAAAUAGGCUGGAGCAAGGAGGAGCAGCAAACAUAACAUUCCCAGUUUACAGCUGAGGAAAUUAAGCUUCAAGUUGCCCAAGUUUAUAGAAUGAGUCAAUGGCAGAGGUUGAACUCAGAUGACAAAAUUGGGGUCUGGACGUGUGCAAGGACUUUUCCAAAGUCAGCUGGAAAGGAGCUGCUUAGCUGAGAGGUUCUGGCUCCAGAGUCUCCUGUGAAGUUGCAGUCAAGAUGUCUGCUGGGACCCCAGUCAUUUGAAGCCCUGUCUGGGGCAGGAGAAUCUAGGUCCAAAAUGGCCGUUGCAGGAGUCCUUAUCCACACCAUGUGGGACCUCUUCAUAGAUGUUCGAGUGUCCUCAUGGCAUGGCCACUGGCUUUCCCCAAACUUCAAACUAUGCAUAUGGGCCAGGCGCGGUAGCUCAUGCCUGUAAUCCCAACACUUUGGAAGGUCAAGGUGGGCAGAUCAUUUGAGGCCAGGAGUUUGAGACCAGCCUGGCCAACAUGGUGAAACUCCGUCUCUACUAAAAAAUACAAAAUAAUUAGCUGGGUGUCGUGGAGCAUACCUGUAAUCCCAGCUGCUCCGGAGGCUGAGGCACGAGAAUCGUCUGAACCCAGGUGAUUCUGCACUCUACUUGGGCUCUGUCUCAAAACAACAACAACAGCAACAACAAAAACUGUGGUAUUUUUAAUGAACUAAAUAUUAAUCUGCUAACACAGCAUAGGUUUUAUGAUUACUGCAAUUCAAAAGUCAUAAUAAAUUUUAAAACAAAUCCUCCUGUACCUGUUGUGGUGCAUGCAGAAACUUUUCCUGUUCAACACACUUAUAUGGCACUAUAUAGGGAUAUACCAAAUAGCUCAGGUACAUAGUGAAUACAACUUUAACACUUAUAUUGAAAUGCUAAUCUUACUUGCCAAUAUUAGUGGCACAUUAGCAUAAUUUAACUUUUAUAAAAUUAUGGAAAACAGUUUAAAAUUAUUCUCCCUAAUAUUAGCAAAUUGCAUUAAUGGCAUGUACCGUGUGCCAGUUUGUUUCCAAAUAAACAAAAUGUACCUUGAUAUGCCACUUCAGAGCCAGCAGAGGGAGCUCAUACUUUUUUAUUGUUUUCAACUUACUGAAGAAAAUUUGCUUUUAAAAGCUACUGUGUUAUAACCAAUGAGAACCAAGAAAA